rnacentral:rRNA from 1 species
AGGGCACCACCAGGAGUGGAGCCUGCGGCUUAAUUUGACUCAACACGGGAAAACUCACCCGGCCCGGACACUGGAAGGAUUGACAGAUUGAGAGCUCUUUCUUGAUUCAGUGGGUGGUGGUGCAUGGCCGUUCUUAGUUGGUGGAGUGAUUUGUCUGGUUGAUUCCGAUAACGAACGAGACUCUAGCCUACUAAAUAGAUCGUCGGCUUACAAACGCCGGCGAGACUUCUUAGAGGGACAGGCGGUGAUUCAACCGCACGAAACAGAGCAAUAACAGGUCUGUGAUGCCCUUAGAUGUCCGGGGCCGCACGCGCGCUACACUGAAGUGAUCAGCGUGCUUUUUCAACCUACUCUGUCAAGAGUGGGGAACCCAAUGAACCUUCUUCGUGAUUGGGAUAGGGGAUUGUAAUUAUUCCCCUUGAACGAGGAAUUCCCAGUAAGCGCGAGUCAUAAGCUCGCGUUGAUUACGUCCCUGCCCUUUGUACACACCGCCCGUCGCUACUACCGAUUGAAUGUUUU